rnacentral:tRNA from 1 species
GGCAUUGUGGAGCAGUGGUAACAUCACCGACUGACAAUCAGUCCACCCAGGAUCGAAUCCUGAACCCGCCG